GUGUUGGUAGCUCAAUUGGUAGAGCGCUGCGUUGUGGUCGCAGUGGUUGCGGGUUCAAGUCCCGUCCAUCACCCC
rnacentral:tRNA from 1 species